UGACGUCAAGUCAUCAUGGCCCUUACGGCCAGGGCUACACACGUGCUACAAUGGUCGGUACAAAGGGUUGCCAAGCCGCGAGGUGGAGCUAAUCCCAUAAAACCGAUCGUAGUCCGGAUCGCAGUCUGCAACUCGACUGCGUGAAGUCGGAAUCGCUAGUAAUCGUGAAUCAGAAUGUCACGGUGAAUACGUUCCCGGGCCUUGUACACACCGCCCGUCACACCAUGGGAGUGGGUUGCUCCAGAAGUAGCUAGUCUAACCGCAAGGGGGACGGUUACCACGGAGUGAUUCAUGACUGGGGUGAAGUCGUAACAAGGUAGCCGU
rnacentral:rRNA from 1 species